rnacentral:snRNA from 1 species
UUCCUUGAGGCGGUGUCGCACCCAAUGAAGUGUAAACUGAGGGGCGACUAUUGCUAGUUGAAAACUUUUUCCCCACUGCACGUGGGAUCUCCCAUUUAUUUAUUUAUUUAUUAUUAUUUAU